AGUGAACGCUGGCGGCAGGCCUAACACAUGCAAGUCGAGCGGCAGCGGGUCCUUCGGGAUGCCGGCGAGCGGCGGACGGGUGAGGAAUGCAUCGGAAUCGUAACCUCGUUGUGGGGGAUAACCUCGGGAAACCGGGACUAAUACCGCAUACGACCUACGGGUGAAAGUGGGGGACCUUCGGGCCUCACGCGGUGAGAUGAGCCGAUGCCGGAUUAGCUAGUUGGCGGGGUAAAGGCCCACCAAGGCGACGAUCCGUAGCUGGUCUGAGAGGAUGAUCAGCCACACUGGGACUGAGACACGGCCCAGACUCCUACGGGAGGCAGCAGUGGGGAAUAUUGGACAAUGGGCGCAAGCCUGAUCCAGCCAUGCCGCGUGUGUGAAGAAGGCCUCGGUUGUAAGCGACUUUGUUGGGUAGGAACGACCGGACGUAA
rnacentral:rRNA from 1 species